CGGGAAGGCCCGCGGGCUGCGCCUUGGCACGUUUGGAGUCUUCUCUCGCCUCUGCCUGCUGCGCCUUUGUCCUCGGGGUUCUUGGAGGCCAGGCUCAAACGCACACUAGUUUCACGGGCCUCACCCUCCCAGCCUUCUUCUCACGGGUUUCUGCGCCAUCACCCCCACCUCUCAGUAUCUUUUUGCAUUAGGGGUCCCACAGAACCCUGAAGGAAUGUCAAGGUGAGCCUCACCCCUUGCUCUUGGCAAAGCCAAAAUAAGGUUAGAACUCCGUUUCUGGAUUCCCAUUAGAAUCCCCCCCCCGCCCCCCCGUUUCCAGACUCCCAGUCCAGCACUGUUUACAUUAACGCAGUGGGUGUUCCUAGGAAUCCUGGCUCAGGAGCUACCCUCUAAAAGAGGGUGUCGGUGCCAAAUGGGUUUGUCAAGGUGCUAUCUCGCCUUCUUGGAGAUUCACGAUGCUCAUUAGCAUACCAAAGGCUCUGAGAAGUCCUGCUGUAAAAGAAGCUCAAGUGAUUUGGUUUACAGUGUUAACUGCCUCUGGACCUGGACCAGUUACUUUUUGCCACCUAAGACUUCCGAGCAUCCCUGUGCUGGCUUGGCUGUCAUUCUUUCCUAAGGGAUCCAACCCAUUGGCUGUGGUAUGAUUGAAGAUCUGGGGUGCUCCUCUUUCCUAGGGAAUUUCUCUAGCAGAGGGAGGGCUUGCCUCAGUGGGGGAGAAGAUAGCCAUCCCUGCCAGGCCCCGGAGAGACCUGGGAGUCGGUAGAUCGGAACAUUGCUCUACAUUGUUUGAAAAAUGAAGUCAAGGUUAUCCAAGUGGUUACCUACUCAAGAGGAACAUUAUCUGUAUGAGAUGCUGGCAUUGACUGUGAGCAACUGGCAGGAGUGGGUCUCAUUCGCCAAAGAGAGAAGAACACUCCGAGUUGGGGUGAACAGCUGGCCCAGUCUCUGUAAGGUUUCCAGGUACAGAGAUUCCCAGGGCUCGCUUCCCUGGGCAGUGGACCCUGUUCUGGCCUGGGCCAGCAGAGAGGCUGCCGAGUGGGGAGCGCGGAUGACCCCUGCCCAGCAGCUUCCCUUCAGCAUUAUCCAGUGGAAGAUCCAAGAUGCAUCACCAUUGAAAUUGCAUCCUCAGCUCAGAACCAGCUCAGAACUGAGGAUCACUUCUUAGUCCCCCAGCUGAUGGUACUCUGUCUGUGGUCAGGUGACCUUACUCAGGAGUAGACCUCUCCUUGGCCUUCAUGGUACCUUAUCUCUCCAGAUGUGCCUGAAACAUUCCAGAGCUCACCGGCUCUUCUAGAUGUGCCUUCCUGCUUGGUCUUCAGCUGCUUCUCUAGAUGUGAGAAGGGCGUGCAAAACAGCCCCCACACUCAUCCCCUCCUCCCCUGAGACCCUGUACCAUAGGAAUGGCCACUUGACCUACUGGCCCAGAAUUUUUGGAUACUGGAGGCAGUCUCAUUGGCCUCCCUCGUUAGAAUCCGGGACUCAGUCCUACUUGAGACCAUUUUGGUUCUACCAGUGCAAAAAUCUAGAACUGAUUGUGGAUCUAAGAGAGGAUUUUUCUAGUGUUCUACAAAGGCCAAAAGAGAGGGUGAGAGUGGGAGGGGCCAGUAGCCAGAGGGGACCUAUGUGCCUCAUUUAAUAGUUUAGUGGUGAUUACUAAUUUGCUUUUCUGAAUAAAGUUUGGUUUGUCUGAU
rnacentral:lncRNA from 1 species